rnacentral:tRNA from 1 species
GCUUUCGUGGUGUAGCAGUCAGCACGCUCGACUCGUAUUCGAGAGGUCCGUGGUUCGAGUCCCGGCGAGGGCA